UACAGUGCGCACGGGUGAGUAACACGUGGGUAACCUGCCCUCGAGCGGGGGAUAACAUUCCGAAAGGAGUGCUAAUACCAGCAUAAGACCACGACCUCGAAAGAGGAUGGGGUAAAAGCUGGCCUCUAUACAUAAGCUAGCACUUGAGGAUGGGCCCGAGGCGCAUCAGGUAGUUGGUGAGGUAAUGGCUCACCAAGCCGGAGACGCGUAGCUGGUCUGAGAGGAUGAUCAGCCACACUGGAACUGAGACACGGUCCAGACUCCUACGGGAGGCAGCAGUGGGGAAUCUUGCGCAAUGGGCGAAAGCCUGACGCAGCGACGCCGCGUGAGUGAUGAAGGCCUUCGGGUUGUAAAGCUCUGUGGGGAGAGACGAAUAAGUGCAGCCUAAUACGUUGCAUGAUGACGGUAUCUCCUUAGCAAGCACCGGCUAACUCUGUGCCAGCAGCCGCGGUAA
rnacentral:rRNA from 1 species